rnacentral:rRNA from 1 species
UGAGGAAUCUUGCGCAAUGGGAGAAACCCUGACGCAGCAACGCCGCGUGAGUGAGGAAGGUCUUCGGGUCGUAAAGCUCUGUCAGGCGGGAAGAAAUGCAUGGAGGUGAACAGCCGCCAUGCUUGACGGUACCGCCAGAGGAAGCACCGGCUAACUCCGUGCCAGCAGCCGCGGUAAUACGGGGGGUGCAAGCGUUGUUCGGAAUCAUUGGGCGUAAAGAGCGUGUAGGCGGCUUGGUAAGUCAGAUGUGAAAGCCCUGGGCUCAACCCGGGAAGUGCAUUUGAAACUGCCAGGCUCGAGUAGGGGAGAGGGAAGUGGAAUUCCUGGUGUAGAGGUGAAAUUCGUAGGUAUCAGGAGGAACACCGGUGGCGAAGGCGACUUCCUGGCCCUAUACUGACGCUGAGACGCGAGAGCGUGGGUCGCAAACAG